CACGUAGGGCGCAAGCGUUGUCCGGAAUUAUUGGGCGUAAAGAGCUCGUAGGCGGUCUGUUGCGUCCGCUGUGAAAACUCGGGGCUUAACCCCGAGCCUGCAGUGGAUACGGGCAGACUAGAGGUAGGUAGGGGAGAAUGGAAUUCCCGGUGUAGCGGUGAAAUGCGCAGAUAUCGAGAGGAACACCUGCGGCGAAGGCGGGUUGCUGGGCUGACACUGACGCUGAGGCGCGAAAGCUAGGGGAGCGAACGGG
rnacentral:rRNA from 1 species